UCAACAGCGCAGCUCCACCCUCGAACGGAAGAAAAUCCUGUUUUCAGCACCACGUAUGCCUAAAGCAUCAUUAUUGCACUCCCAAAUCAGCUGUGUUGCCACCACACUGAAUCUGCUGUGAAAUAACAGUGUCUGCCAGCAAACAGAGAACCUGAGAUGUGCAUUGCACACGGCCUGUGCCUUCCUGCAACGGAGGGGCAAGUGGAGCCCUCAUCUUCCCAGUCAGCAUCCUCCCCACCCCGCCUCCGGGCAUGGGAGCCAUUGCCACAGCCUGGGACCCCUCUACCUGCAGAAGCGAAUGCUUUUAUACUCCCAAGUGCAUAUUGAAAAGCCAAAGCUGCAGCGUUGUGCAAUGUAUUCCAUCAAAGUUUGGCGCGUUUUUCUUCAACGUUACGGUGCGGGUGACUGAGGACAGUUGUUGCGAGCGCUGCUUCUUGGUUCCCCGAAAUGGGAGGCGUCUUGUGCGGCUUCCCGGAGGCCACCUCAGGGAGGAUCGUGUUUCCAUGUGCAGUGAAGGAUUUGGGCGGGUAAAUCAAAUCGUCACAGCAAUGGCGGACUCCUUCAGGACACAAAGCCAAAGGACAGGGAUCUUUUAUUCGUUUCUAUUGAACACUGCAGAUUGAAGCUGGGUGCCUGAUGGACACCUGCUCACGUGCUUCUCUGGAGAAAACCAAGACAUGGAAAAGUUGCCUCACAGCCUGGGUCUUGCAGCUGGUUCAUGCACGUCCAAUUUCAUGACUUCUGCCUUAAGUCUCUGUGCACAAAGCUACUUGCACCACCAACAGUCUGUUCUUAAUUAGUGAUCCGUUUCCAAUAGCAAAGUACAAUUCUAUUAAUGGGUCUCCUUGGGACAUUAAUGUGAUUUCUGCUCUGCCAUUUCCUUCCUCUUGUUCCUUCAGACCAUUUAAUAUUUCAUAUUGGUAAUUAGCAAAUUCUUCUUAUUUAGUGCUAAUUUUAAACAUUCCAUCUAUUUUUGUAAGACCCUUUUUCAGUAAAUAAGAUAACCAUAAUUUCUUCUAAAUGUUCACUAUGUUCCUUUUAUAGACACAAGACUACUGUGUUGCUCUGAAGUCACAUAGACAUCUCCCACUGUGUUUUUUUCUAAAGUGGUUGAGUUUUCCCAGUCAAGACUCCGCUCCACUGACCAUCUGGCAUGUACCACUGAGCUCUCACUGUGUGCAUGGAUAGAGCUCCCACUGUGUGUGGAUAGAGCUCCCACCGUGUGCAUGGAUAGAGCUCCCACCAUGUGCAUGGAUAGAGCUCCCACUGUGUGUGUGGAUAGAGCUCCCACUGUGUGCAUGGAUAGAGCUCCCACCGUGUGCAUGGAUAGAGCUCCCACCGUGUGCAUGGAUAGAGCUCCCACUGUGUGCGUGGAUAGAGCUCCCACCGUGUGCGUGGAUAGAGCUCCCACCGUGUGUAUGGAUAGAGCUCCCACUGUGUGCAUGGAUAGAGCUCCCACUGUGUGCGUGGAUAGAGCUCCCACUGUGUGCGUGGAUAGAGCUCCCACUGUGUGCAUAGAUAUGAGCUUCCACUGUGUGCAUGGAUAGAGCUCCCACUGUGUGCAUGGAUAGAGCUCCCACUGUGUGCAUGGAUAGAGCUCCCACUGUGUGCAUAGAUAUGAGCUUCCACUGUGUGCAUGGAUAGAGCUCCCACUGUGUGCAUGGAUAGAGCUCCCACUGUGUCUGUGGAUAGAGCUCCCACUGUGUGCAUAGAUAUGAGCUUCUACUGUGUGCAUGGAUGUGAGCUCCCAUUGUGUUCAUAGAUAUGAGCUCCCACUGUGUGUGUGAAUAGAGCUCACCCUGUGUGCAUGGAUAGAGCUCCCAGUGUGUGCAUGGAUAUGAGCUGCCACUGUGUGCAUGGAUAGAGCUCCCACUGUGUGCAUGGAUGUGAGCUCCCACUGUGUGUGUGGAUAUGAGCUGCCACUGUGUGUGUGGAUAGAGCUCCCACUGUGUGCAUGGAUAUGAGCUCACACUGUGUGCAUGGAUAUGAGCUCCCACUGUGUGUGUGGAUGUCUCACUGAGCUGCCACUGUGUGCAGAGGUAUGAGCUCCCAUUAUAUGCAUGGAUAUGAGCUUCCACUCUGUACAUGGAUAUGAGCUUGAUUAUGUAGGUAUAAGCUCUCACAUAAUGAGCUCUCACUCUGUGCAUGGAUAUAAGCUCCCAUUAUGUGCAUGGAUAUCAUCAGCUCUGUGUGCAUGGAUAUCAGUUGCCACUGUGUGCAUGGACAUGAGUUCCCACUGUGUGUGUGGAUGUGAGCUCCCAUUAUGUGCAUGGAUAUGAGCUUCCACUGUGUGCAUGAAUAUGGCUUGAUUAUGUAGGUAUAAGCACAUAAUGAGCUCUCACUCUGUGCAUGGAUAUGAGCUCUUACUUUGUGCAUGGAUAUCAUCAGCUUUAUGUGCAUGGAUAUCAGUUCCCACCGUGUGCAUGGAUAUGAGCUCCCACUGGGUGCAUGGGUAUGAGCUCCCACUGUGUGCAUGGGUAUGAGCUUCCACUGUGUGCAUGGAUAGAACUCCCCCUGUGUGCAUGGAUAGAGCUCCCACUGUGUGCACAGAUAGAGCUCCCACUGUGUGCAUGGACAUGAGCCUCCACUGUGUGCAUGGACAUGAGCCUCCACUGUGUGCAUGGAUAGAGCUCCCACUGUGUGCAUUAAUGUGAGCUCCCACUGUGUGCAUGGAUGUGAGCUCCCACUGUGUGCAUGGAUGUGAGCUCCCACUGUGUGCAUGGAUAGAGCUCCCACUGUGUGCAUGGAUGUGAGCUCCCACUGUGUGCAUGGAUGUGAGCUCCCACUGUGUGUGUGGAUGUGAGCUCACACUGUGUGCGUGGAUGUAAGCUCCCACUGUGUGCAUGGAUAUGAGCUCCCACUGUGUGUGUGGAUGUCUCACUGAGCUUCCACUGUGUGUGUAGCAUAAGUAGUGGGGUAAGCAAGGUGAAGGGAGCUCCUAAUUAGCACAGAUGGAGCCAGAUUCAAGACUAAGGAGGAAAAAAGGAUCUAACAAUCCUUAAGAGCCUACUAUGUUCCAGGCACUUUCCUCACAAUUCUUGUGAACUACUGUGCUUUACCCUGCUUCUGUGGAUGAGGAAACUAAGGCACAAGGAAGUGAAGGACGUUGGUGGAUUCGACAUCCACCUUUGUGCUCCCAAGCAGUUUUUUGUUUCUCACCAUUAGAAUUGACCACCUUGCAUUACGUUUUGUUUCUAAAUUAUCACAAAUCCCAUCUCUGUUUCUCAGGUUCUCAACCAGAGGCAAUCUUGCCCCCAGGGAACAUUUGGCAAAUGGAGAUAUUUUUGUUUGCCCCAACUGGUGGAGGAAUGUGACUGGCAUUGAAUGGGUGGGGCCAAGAUGCCACUCAACACCCUACCGUGCACGCAGUUUAAAACAAGGUUAGACAAAUUAAAUUUAACAGAGUUUAAGUGAGCAAAAACGAUUCAUGAGCCAAGAAUCACUGAGGACAAAAACAGGCGCACGGUGGGCAGGGAAUAUUUAUAGCAGAAAGCAGAAGUGACUGCAGAGAUAGCCUGAUUGGUUACAGCUCUGGCUCGCUGAGACGCAGCCACCUGUCACCGGAAUACACGCCUGUGUCAGCUUGCAGUUUGUUGACAUGCUGAGUUAGGCUGAGGCCUCAAAGUACGGAGGCAGCUUUAGCCAAUUUAACCCAAUUUAACACCACGACGGUGCCCUCCACAAAGAAACAUCCAGCCUAAACUGCUGGAAGUGCCAAGGUUGGAAACCCUGAAAUGUGCGUACAUAUAUCCCAUUUAAACUUCCUGUCAUUCUCCAUUUAACUUUCCAGAGUCAAGUACUGUCAGUAGUUGGAGUAAGCCCUUCCCACUUUCUGUCUGCUAUGUUUAAUCUCUAUUCUCUCUCCAAAUGUAUUUCUGAUUAAAAAUGAGAUCAUGC
rnacentral:lncRNA from 1 species